rnacentral:rRNA from 1 species
CGCUGGAGAACUGAGGGGGGCUGCUCCUAGUACGAGAGGACCGGAGUGGACGCAUCACUGGUGUUCGGGUUGUCAUGCCAAUGGCACUGCCCGGUAGCUAAAUGCGGAAGAGAUAAGUGCUGAAAGCAUCUAAGCACGAAACUUGCCCCGAGAUGAGUUCUCCCUGACCCUUUAAGGGUCCUGAAGGAACGUUGAAGACGACGACGUUGAUAGGCCGGGUGUGUAAGCGCAGCGAUGCGUUGAGCUAACCGGUACUAAUGAACCGUGAGGCUUAACCUUACAACGCCGAAG